rnacentral:lncRNA from 10 species
CUUUUUUGCCGGUUCUUCCCGCUGAGGAAGUGUCGCUCAAGACGCUGGCCUAUGAGUUGUGAUUUCUGCCUUUUCCCCUUCCUCCUUGGGCUAAGCCAGACCAGAAAGGGCCCCGUGCGCAACGUGCUUCACAAUCUCUCAGGGAAAGCGGCUAACGUGGCGCUACUCCGCCUCCCCUGUUCCUUACCCUUGGGGCGGCCGCCAUGUUUCCUGAACACAAAAUGGCGACACGUGGUUAGCAUUCGUCGCCAACGAGAAAUUGGGGUCGGCCCGAAAGCUCUAGAAUGCACCCCUCUUCCUCCCCGGGGCCUUCCACCUCCGCGAGUUUUAUGACUUAAAAAAGCCCACAGGCUGGUCUGAAGGUCGGAGGCCUAAUUUUAACGCGUUUUCCUCCCUUUAAUUUGAAACGGGAACGCGAAUGACUGUAAAAUGUGGGCACAAUAUUUAAUCUCUCGCCUUUUUAAAGCUUAAUAGUGGAUAAUAGGGGGGCAGUAUCAAGGGAUAAUUUGGGUCCCCACAGUACCAAAGCAUUUAGAAACCUCUGUUUAAUUUAAGGAAUGAGAUAAGUUACUGCUUUUCUAGACUUCCUAGCAUGGGCUGUUGUGCUGGAGAGAACGAGAGCUACGAAGAGACUACAGUGCCUCUGACUUUUUCAUAGGACAGUUGGCCGGUGAAUCUUAUUAAUAGUUUACCACAAUUAAGUGUUCAUUUUUAGUCUAGAAGGGACAGGCGUUUAUUGUGCAUUGGCCAGUGCCAGCACAUCCGAUGCAAGGCAGUUCACCGUAUUCUAUCUUUAAUUUUUACCAUGGUCCUCUGAGGUAGGUGUUCUUAUCUCUCUCUCUCUCUCUCUCUUUUAAACAGAGGAAGACAAACAUAAAGAUGAAGUGCUUAAUUCAAGGUCACACAAUGUCGGGGAUGGACCUCCAGAUUUCCUUACUGACCUGCAUUAUCUUGUGGAUACCUGAGUGAAUUCCACACCACCCAUUUUAUAGAUGAAACCACUGAGACAUGGAGCAAUUGACUGAGUAGUCACUGCCCCACCCCUGCCUGGAGCCUCACACAUGACUCGCCUCCUCUCAGUGACCACAGGUUGGUUGAGGGGUUUAACAAGGCUAAGAAGGUGAGACGUGGUCUUGUAACACAGUGGUUAAGAAUGUGACUUUGGAGCCAGCCUGCUAGGGGCUGAAUUCUGACUCAGCCAUUUACUAACUGUGUGACCUUAGAAGAGAGGGACACAGAGGGAAGAUGGCCACAUGAAGAUGGAGGCAGAGAUUGCAGUUAUGCUGCUGCAAACUAAGGAAUGGCUCUGGCCCUCCAAGGAUUGCUGAUAACCACCAGAAACUAGAAGAGACAAGGAAGGAUUCUUCCCUAGAGCCUUCAGAGGGAGCAUGGCCCUACUGACACCUGGAUUUCAAACUUGUAGCUUCCUAAACUGCAAGAGAAUAAAUUUCUG